UACGGGGAGGAGGAUGACUAGUGUGAGGUUAGGUUAAGGUAAAACUGAGAGGCUGAAUGUAGUGUGACGUUGGGUAGGGAAGUCUGGUUAGGGUGAAGCUGAGAAUCUGGCUGUGUGGUGAGGUUAGGGUGAAGCUUAGGGCCUGACUAGGGGAUGAGGUUAGGUCGUGUUAGGGUGAAGCUUAGGGCCUGACUAGGGGGUGAGGUUAGAUUGUGUUAGGGUGAAGCUUAGAGCCUGACUAGGGUGAGUGAAGUCAUGUUAGAUUAAGUUAGUGGUUUAAUUAGGGGGUGAAGUUGAUUGGUUGAAUAGUUGAGCUGAGGUUAUAUUAAUGCUCGGUUAGGCUAGGGUGAAACUGAGAGAGGUAAAGUCAUGUUAGACUAAAGGAUGAGUUUUUUUUCUACUUUUUAAUGCAGGAAGGACAGCUGGCCAAGGCAACAAAAUAUAUAAAAAAAAAAAAAAAGGCCCACUACGUUGCCAGUUUCCUAAAAGACAUGGGAGUGAUUUAUUAACGAAGGGAUGAACGUAAAGAUAGAAUAGCGUUAAAAACAAUUGAUUACUUAAAAAAAAAAACUACACUAAGAUGAAGUCAGGUUAGAGAGAGAGACUGACUAAUUAAGGAGAUGAGAGAAAGGGUGAAAUGAUGGUCAUGGUAGGUUGAAGUUAACUGACUGACUGAAGAGAGACAGACUAGCGUGAAUCCAGGUUAAAUAAGGAUGCAAUUUGACUGAUUAAUGAGAGAGAGAGUAUAGGUGAGGUGAUGCCAAGGAGAAAAUUGAUAGACUAAAGAGAGAGAGAGAGAGAGAGAGAGAGAGAGAGAGAGAGAGAGAGAGAGAGAGAGAGAGAGAGAGAGAGAGAGAGAGAGAGAGAGAGAGAGAAGAG